ACUUCUGAAAACAGCACUUAAUUUAGCAGAAGAAGGUAUUGCAAGCACCACAGAAGGUGACUGAACUACCCAAAUCCAUGCUAGGAAAAAGUCCUUCAGAUAGUUGUUAGACCUGUGUGUCUUGCCUUGAAAUGCACUGGAUCCAGAUUUACUUUCUGAAGAGUUGCUGUAACUCAAACAAGCCUCACAGGGCUGUCCAAACCUUUAACGCUGGUGCUGCUGUACUUGGAAUGUCUAGAGCAGCAGAAUGAUGGAGGAUGAAGCAGCAGAAGCAGAGAACAGGAGAUGCUGUGUUAUGGUUUUGUAGUUUGUUACCAUUGACCACAACUCUGCAUUGCUCUGGAGCUCAGGAGCCACUGGGGCACAGCCUCUCGCUUGGCAGCACCGAGAGCAUCCAGAUCUCACCUGGAGGUUUGGGAGGACUGACCCCCUCCCAGGAAAGGUCCUUUCAGCUCCUCUACUACAGAAACAAGCAACAAAUGGCAGAAAAGACAGCAGGUACCAACAUGAAAAACUUUUUAAUUUUUUUGUAUUCUCUUUCCAUCCAUAUGUCAGCUUCUCAGGAAUGCUUGCCAGAGGAUACACUGACUAGCUAGGUUUGUAAGAAUAUAAAUAUUAUUGAGGGGAGAACGAAGGCCCUCUUAAGGGGAAAUAACAGCUUAUAUUCAUUUAGAUUUCCAUAUAAUUCUCCCCACUCCCAUUUCCAUGUAGCCA